rnacentral:ncRNA from 1 species
GGUUACGGUAGCCGGGUUUUGCCCGGCUUGAAAAGGGAAUCCCGUGCAAAACGGGAGCGGACCCGCCGCCGUAAGGCCCGUAUACCGCGCUUCUUCAUGUGCCACUGGCAACGGGAAGGCCGAAGCGCGGGGGCCAAGCCGGAAGACCUGCCGUAGC